rnacentral:lncRNA from 1 species
UUUCUCACCAAGCAAGUGUUUCACUCAAUCACUCAAGUGUGUAGGAGGUCACUCUAUUCUCUAAUGUUCACAUGUCACAUAAAACAAUAUUGUCAUUCAUCUAAAACAAUCAAAAUCUUCACAUGCACAUGUCAUCACAAGGACUUUUUCCACGGCUUGUAUUGUGGCUGGGCUAUCAAGAAAAUUGGGUUUUUUUGGAAUACAAAAUCCUUGAGUUAAGAGAAUUUAAAUCAUCAUUCAAAGUUCAAGCAUACUCUCUUUUUUUAACCAAUCUCACUCAUUCCCAACUUCUUCCCUUUUUCCUUUUUACCUUGAGUUCACUUUUACAUGCUUUUCUCUUUUCUUCUUUUCUUUUCUUUCUCAUGCAUUUUUCUUUUUCAUCUUUUGAACUCAAUGCUUUUCUUUUUCUUUUGCCUUUCACUUUCCCCAUACAACCCCAAACUUGAACCUUUUCAACACAUAUAAUUAUUCUCAACCCAAC